rnacentral:lncRNA from 1 species
UUAAUCUUUACCAUUCUCUAUUUCACAAGAAAUGUCCACCUCAUCAAAGGUAGCCCUGGGACGGAUCCGGAUAUCCGGGAAAUUUAAUGUAUCCGGAUCCGGAUCCGGAUCCGUCGGAUCCGGAUCCGGAUCCGUCGGAUCCGUGGAUUUAAUAUCCCAAAUAUUAAUAUUAAUAAAAUUUAAAAAUUUAAUGUAUUUUAAAAAUACGGAUCCGGAUCUUAAUCCGGAUAUCCGGACCUAAAAAUUAAGAUAUCCGGAUCCAGAUUCGGUUUGCACGGAUCCAAGAUUUUACUAUCCGAAUUCGGAUCCGGGCACCCCGGAUAUCCUAUUUUCGGAGCGGAUCCGGAGCGGAUCUCGAAUCGAAUCCGGAUCUCGGAUAAUAAGUCCCAGGCCUAAUCAAAGGUGCAUGCGUCCUUGAAAGUAUUUUAUCAAAAUGAAGUUAGUUUGUGCAUUUCGUUAAAUGCUAAUUGUUGCAGAUACCCAUUUAAUUCUGGUGGGGUUCUGUAAAUGACAAAUAAAAAAAGUCAUGAGUCUCAUGGCAGAAAAUGGUAGUGGCAAAGAAUAAUAUAGCUGACAGUGGGUUGUAGCAAAGCCACGUUGCAGCUCCAGUUUUCAGGAAAUCACCAUCGUUGAUUCAAGUGGUGGUAUUGUAUCCAAAGUUUCUUGUAUCCUUUUGAUUGUUUGAACAAAGUCUUAGCUUUUUCGAGGAAACUUCUAAUCGUAAUUCCGCAUGAAGUGUAGUGAUCUACAGUAGUUAUGUACAUAGAUUUCCGAUACAACAAGCUGU